rnacentral:rRNA from 1 species
GGCGCAGCUGACGAUGUCACGCCGCGUGGAGGAUGAACAUCUUCGGAUCGUAAACUCCUUUCGAUCGAGACGAAUGGCCCUUGGGCUAAUACCCUGAGGGAGUGACGGUACCGAGAGAAGAAGCCCCGGCUAACUCCGUGCCAGCAGCCGCGGUAAUACGGGGGGGGCAAGCGUUGUUCGGAAUUACUGGGCGUAAAGGGCUCGUAGGCGGCCAACUAAGUCAUACGUGAAAUCCCUCGGCUUAACCGGGGAACUGCGUCUGAUACUGGAUGGCUUGAGUUCGGGAGAGGGAUGCGGAAUUCCAGGUGUAGCGGUGAAAUGCGUAGAUAUCUGGAGGAACACCGGUGGCGAAGGCGGCAUCCUGGACCGAUACUGACGCUGAGGAGCGAAAGCCAGUGGAGCAAACGGGAUUAGAUACCCCGGUAGUCCUGGCCCUAAACGAUGAAUGCUUGGUGUGGCGGGUAUCGAUCCCUGCCGUGCCGAAGCUAACGCAUUAAGCAUUCCGCCUGGGGAGUACGGUCGCAAGGCUGAAACUCCAAAGGAAUUGACGGGGGCCCGGACAAGCGGUGGA